GCUAUCUCACAGGGUUGUUGUGAAGAUUAAGUGAGUUAACUUUUAUCAAGCCCCUAGAAAGUAUCCUGUAUAGGAUAAGUAUUAAAUUAAUGUCUGUCUUCUGUAAUUUCAGAAUCCUCAAAGUUAUGGAUCUUAACCCCCUAUAAAAUGAAACCUGCCAGAUCUUAGAACCUCAGCCAUGACCGGGGGAUCUUCCUUCAACUUUCUAACCCUGAACUAAAUGCUUUACAAGCAUUCUUUCAUUUAAUCCCCAAAACAAGUCUUUGAAGUGGAGAUUACCAACUAUAUCCAUGAGGAAAGUGGGACUUUACAAAGGUUAGGAGACUAAUCCAGGGUCACUCAAGUGUGGAUUAUAAAGCCAGCACUGGAGCCCCCAGGGUGCCGGACUCCAAAGUCUAUCUCUCAGAUAUUUCCCUUCCCAUCCAGUGCCCUGCCUCAUCAGUAUCUGUCACAGGUCCUCAGCCUCUACUGGAUACCUCCUGUCACAGGGACAUCAUGGCCUCUGGAGACAGCUCAGUUGCCACUGCCACAUGUUCAGGAAAGGAUCUGCUCUUCCAUGCACAGCCCCCUUGAUCCUAGUUUGGCUUGUCUUUCCCAGCUCUGAAAAGCCCAGGCAGGAGAACAUGGACCCUCUGGGGCCAUCUCUCCACUGGCUGGGUGUGUUGCAUUUGCAGCUUACUAGACCUGGGUGGAAACUGAGCUCCCUGGCUUUGGACAGACAGCUCCUUCAGGAAACCCACAGACAACAGGGACCACUAGUGCCUCUUUCUCCUCAAGGCUUCCAACUUUCCUGCUUGAACUGUCAUUCAAUGAGACAAGAUUUAUAAUAAUCCCAGGACUCUCUAAUCCCUGCAUUCUUCCCACUUGCUUCCCAAGUACCUGGAGUCUAGCCUCUCC
rnacentral:lncRNA from 1 species